AUUGAACGCCGGCGGAAUGCUUUACAUAUGCAAGUCGAACGAUGAACCUUAGCUUGCUAAGGGGAUUAGUGGCGAACGGGUGAGUAAUAUAUCGGAACGUGCCUUGUAAUGGGGGAUAACUAGUCGAAAGAUUAGCUAAUACCGCAUACGCCCUGAGGGGGAAAGUAGGGGAUCUUCGGACCUUACGUUAUAAGAGCGGCCGAUAUCUGAUUAGCUAGUUGGUGGGGUAAUGGCCUACCAAGGCGACGAUCAGUAGCUGGUCUGAGAGGACGACCAGCCACACUGGAACUGAGACACGGUCCAGACUCCUACGGGAGGCAGCAGUGGGGAAUUUUGGACAAUGGGCGCAAGCCUGAUCCAGCCAUGCCGCGUGAGUGAAGAAGGCCUUCGGGUUGUAAAGCUCUUUCGCAAGGGAAGAAAACUUACCAUCGAAUAAAUGGUGAGGCUGACGGUACCUUGAUAAGAAGCACCGGCUAGGUACGUG
rnacentral:rRNA from 1 species